GACAGCAUGGUUUAGUGGUUUGAGUAUUGGACUGCGACUCUGGAGACCAGGGUUCAAACCCCUGCUCAUCCA